CAAAUAUUGAUUCAAUACAUUACCUCGGGCUGACCAAUUCAUUUCAUCAAGUUCCUUGAAAUAUUCAUACACUUCCUAGUAUAAUUGUAAACUUCCUGUUGAAUAGCUUGAAUGCACCAAUCACCUUUGUUGUUUGUGCAACUAACCAAUCAUAAAUAGAAAGGAAGUGACCAGAAAUGAUCAAAUACUUGGAAUUGGCUCUUUCACAGGAAGUGUAUGAAUAUCUCGAGGAACUUGAUCAAAUGAAUUGGUCAGCCCGAGGUAAUGUAUGAAUCAAUAUUUGAGCAACACUUCAAUUGGAACGACAGUAAAGUUACCGGACAUGACGUCAAAAGGAGAAUUUUGUUGCAAUGAUACAAAGGAAAACUGAUUUGCAAUUCUCCUUUUGACGUCAUGUCCGGUAACUUUAAGAGCUAAUAAAUCCAUCAAGAUGAAAUUUUUCAAUAACAAAAUAUAUUGCAAAG